rnacentral:rRNA from 1 species
AUUGAACGCUGGCGGAAUGCUUUACACAUGCAAGUCGAGCGGCAGCGCGGCCUUCGGGCUGGCGGCGAGCGGCGAACGGGUGAGUAAUGCAUCGGAACAUGCCCAGUCGUGGGGGAUAACACUUCGAAAGAAGUGCUAAUACCGCAUACGUCCUGAGGGGGAAAGCGGGGGACCGCAAGACCUCGCGCGAUUGGAGUGGCCGAUGUCAGAUUAGCUAGUUGGUGGGGUAAAGGCCUACCAAGGCGACGAUCUGUAGCUGGUCUGAGAGGAUGAUCAGCCACACUGGGACUGAGACACGGCCCAGACUCCUACGGGAGGCAGCAGUGGGGAAUUUUGGACAAUGGGGGCAACCCUGAUCCAGCCAUUCCGCGUGAGUGAAGAAGGCCUUCGGGUUGUAAAGCUCUUUCGGCAGGAACGAAACGGUGGGCUCUAACAUAGUCCGCUAAUGACGGUACCUGAAGAAGAAGCACCGGCUAACUACGUG